rnacentral:rRNA from 1 species
AUUGAACGCUGGCGGCAUGCCUUACACAUGCAAGUCGAACGGCAGUACGGGGCAACCUGGUGGCGAGUGGCGAACGGGUGAGUAAUGCAUCGGAACGUACCUUUCAGUGGGGGAUAACGUAGCGAAAGUUACGCUAAUACCGCAUAUUCUGUGAGCAGGAAAGCAGGGGAUCGCAAGACCUUCCGCUGAUUGAGCGGCCGAUGUCAGAUUAGCUAGUUGGUGAGGUAAAGGCUCACCAAGGCGACGAUCUGUAGCGGGUCUGAGAGGAUGAUCCGCCACACUGGAACUGAGACACGGUCCAGACUCCUACGGGAGGCAGCAGUGGGGAAUUUUGGACAAUGGGGGCAACCCUGAUCCAGCCAUGCCGCGUGAGUGAAGAAGGCCUUCGGGUUGUAAAGCUCUUUCGGCCGGGAAGAAAUCGCACGGGCUAAUACCCUGUGUGGAUGACGGUACCGGAAUAAGAAGCACCGGCUAACUACGUGCCAGCCGCCGCAGUAACAC